AGUGAACGCUGGCGGUAGGCCUAACACAUGCAAGUCGAACGGCAGCACAGUAAGAGCUUGCUCUUACGGGUGGCGAGUGGCGGACGGGUGAGGAAUACAUCGGAAUCUACUUUUUCGUGGGGGAUAACGUAGGGAAGCUUACGCUAAUACCGCAUACGACCUACGGGUGAAAGCAGGGGAUCUUCGGACCUUGCGCGAUUGAAUGAGCCGAUGUCGGAUUAGCUAGUUGGCGGGGUAAAGGCCCACCAAGGCGACGAUCCGUAGCUGGUCUGAGAGGAUGAUCAGCCACACUGGAACUGAGACACGGUCCAGACUCCUACGGGAGGCAGCAGUGGGGAAUAUUGGACAAUGGGCGCAAGCCUGAUCCAGCCAUACCGCGUGGGUGAAGAAGGCCUUCGGGUUGUAAAGCCCUUUUGUUGGGAAAGAAAAGCAGCAGGUUAACACCCCGCUGUUCUGACGGUACCCAAAGAAUAAGCACCGGCUAACUUCGUG
rnacentral:rRNA from 1 species